rnacentral:piRNA from 1 species
GGGCACGAGUUCGAGGCCAGCCUGGUCCAU